rnacentral:tRNA from 1 species
GCGCCGAUAGCUCAAUUGGAUAGAGCAUCUGACUACGGAUCAGAAGGUUCGGGGUUCGAGUCCCUGUCGGCGCG